CCACGGUGCCACAAUCCUCAUAUCGCAUCCCAAAACAGGGCCACCAUGGGCUCGGACCAUCACCCCGUCCACCCACAUCCACCCUCCUCUGGCUGCUGCCUCGGCUCCAGGCCCCGUCCUGUCCCCACCAGCCCGUGGGGCACGGGGACGCGCUGACACGGCAGGAGGGGGGGGGGCUGUUGGCAUCAGCAGAUAAAGUUGGGCAAACACAUCCAGCCUUCCCGGCGCCCUGCCAGGAGGAGCUCGUUAGGCGCGGUGCGUCACCGCUUUUGUGCGCCUCAGCUCCGGCUGUCAGCCUGCCUCAUGCCGCCCGUCACUCUGCCGGCUGCGGCCAGGGCUCCUUCGGAGGCCGGGGACGAGGGCGCGGAUGCUCUGCCCCUCUGCGGGGAUUACAUAAGCAGCAGGCUUUUGUCCUCAGAGCGCUGCAGCCAGAGCCGGCACGUCACCCAGAGCCGUGCGAUUGCCUCCGACAGCUUCGUCCUGAAGAACAAUGGCCACGACGGGGCUGUGAAGCCCGAUUUCUAAUUUUAUUUUAUUUUUUUUUAUCGUUUUUUAAAGAAGGUUCUGCAAAAUAAUGUGCAAUGCUGACAGUCCAGGACUUCAAAGAUCACGCUGCUCACAGCAGCCCAGGGCAGAUGCACGAGCGCACGCGGUGCCGCGCGGAGGCAGCCCCUGUCCAAAGCCCCCCCGCCAGACCCUGGGGUCUGAUGGAGAGCUCCAACCUGCAGCCACCGAACUCGCUAACGGCAGCGGGGAGGGGGGCGGCUUUAUAUAAGCACUUUACAGGCUAUAGCCACGUUUGGAGAAAGCAGAAUGAUGAGGAAAUGCUGUCCCCAUAAAGCAUGAGUUACGGCACUACAAGCUUUUCCCCUUGUAGCAACGACUCUGGCGCCCGGGGUGGCUGCAGGAACCUGGCGGCUGGGGAGGUGAUGGGCCAGCAUCACGGUGCCUGAGAGGAACUGCAGAUAUAUAAAUCUGGCUGUAAUUGUGGAAAUACGUUGGAGACUGAGAUAAAGAAAAGCCACAGGAUUACACGGGAUUGGAAAAGGCAUUGCAUUGUGAGAUCGGCACCUCUGACUUACAGAAGGAAAAUUGAUUCAGACAAAAGCAUUCUAAGUGGUUUACAUUCUUAAUAUGCUAUCAAAUUAGUUACAAAGAUGUAACAGCGGUAGAUGUAAUUUACCUAUUCCGUGCAAGGACGAGAUACUCUACAACACGGUAAAUUGAUUUAUAAAGCUGGGAGGCAAAACAGUGCUACAAGAGAUGAGUAUUGACCCAGGAUAGCGACCCGCUGGGCGGAGGGGGGGAGGCAGCAUCGGGUCCCCUCCGCGUGGGGCUGCGGGAUGAGGCACCGAGAGCUGCCUGGGGGCAGGAGGGGGCCUGCAGGGUGCACGAGGUGGUGGCUUUUAGGGUCAUCUCUUGUAGGGAAAAGACUGGUAGAGUGCGUGGCACGUCCUCCUUUUUAAUUUGCAUCAUAAAUCCCAUUAAAAUAAGCCCAAACUUUGGGAAAGCACCUCCAAACACCAGCUGGAAGACAUCAAACA
rnacentral:lncRNA from 1 species